rnacentral:rRNA from 1 species
UUAAGCGACUAAGCGUACACGGUGGAUGCCCUGGCAGUCAGAGGCGAUGAAGGACGUGCUAAUCUGCGAAAAGCGUCGGUAAGGUGAUAUGAACCGUUAUAACCGGCGAUGUCCGAAUGGGGAAACCCAGUGCAAUUCGUUGCACUAUCGUUAACUGAAUACAUAGGUUAACGAGGCGAACCGGGGGAACUGAAACAUCUAAGUACCCCGAGGAAAAGAAAUCAACCGAGAUUCCCCCAGUAGCGGCGAGCGAACGGGGAGCAGCCCAGAGUCUGAAUCAGCUUGUGUGUUAGUGGAACGGUCUGGAAAGUCCGACGGUACAGGGUGAUAGUCCCGUACACCAAAAUGCACAGGUUGUGAACUCGAAGAGUAGGGCGGGACACGUGGUAUCCUGUCUGAAUAUGGGGGGACCAUCCUCCAAGGCUAAAUACUCCUGACUGACCGAUAGUGAACCAGUACCGUGAGGGAAAGGCGAAAAGAACCCCGGCGAGGGGAGUGAAAAAGAACCUGAAACCGUGUACGUACAAGCAGUGGGAGCACCUUCGGGUGUGACUGCGUACCUUUUGUAUAAUGGGUCAGCGACUUAUAUUCUGUAGCAAGGUUAACCGUAUAGGGGAGCCGCAGGGAAACCGAGUCUUAACUGGGCGUUAAGUUGCAGGGUAUAGACCCGAAACCCGGUGAUCUAGCCAUGGGCAGGUUGAAGGUUGGGUAACACUAACUGGAGGACCGAACCGACUAAUGUUGAAAAAUUAGCGGAUGACUUGUGGCUGGGGGUGAAAGGCCAAUCAAACCGGGAGAUAGCUGGUUCUCCCCGAAAGCUAUUUAGGUAGCGCCUCGUGAACUCAUCUUCGGGGGUAGAGCACUGUUUCGGCUAGGGGGUCAUCCCGACUUACCAACCCGAUGCAAACUACGAAUACCGAAGAAUGUUAUCACGGGAGACACACGGCGGGUGCUAACGUCCGUCGUGAAGAGGGAAACAACCCAGACCGCCAGCUAAGGUCCCAAAGUCAUGGUUAAGUGGGAAACGAUGUGGGAAGGCACAGACAGCCAGGAUGUUGGCUUAGAAGCAGCCAUCAUUUAAAGAAAGCGUAAUAGCUCACUGGUCGAGUCGGCCUGCGCGGAAGAUGUAACGGGGCUAAACCAUGCACCGAAGCUGCGGCAGCGACACUAUGUGUUGUUGGGUAGGGGAGCGUUCUGUAAGCCUGCGAAGGUGUGCUGUGAGGCAUGCUGGAGGUAUCAGAAGUGCGAAUGCUGACAUAAGUAACGAUAAAGCGGGUGAAAAGCCCGCUCGCCGGAAGACCAAGGGUUCCUGUCCAACGUUAAUCGGGGCAGGGUGAGUCGACCCCUAAGGCGAGGCCGAAAGGCGUAGUCGAUGGGAAACAGGUUAAUAUUCCUGUACUUGGUGUUACUGCGAAGGGGGGACGGAGAAGGCUAUGUUAGCCGGGCGACGGUUGUCCCGGUUUAAGCAUGUAGGCUGAUUGUCCAGGCAAAUCCGGAUAAUCAAGGCUGAGGUGUGAUGACGAGGCACUACGGUGCUGAAGUAACAAAUGCCCUGCUUCCAGGAAAAGCCUCUAAGCAUCAGGUAACAUUAAAUCGUACCCCAAACCGACACAGGUGGUCAGGUAGAGAAUACCAAGGCGCUUGAGAGAACUCGGGUGAAGGAACUAGGCAAAAUGGUGCCGUAACUUCGGGAGAAGGCACGCUGGUGUGUAGGUGAAGUCCCUGCGGAUGGAGCUGAGACCAGUCGAAGAUACCAGCUGGCUGCAACUGUUUAUUAAAAACACAGCACUGUGCAAACACGAAAGUGGACGUAUACGGUGUGACGCCUGCCCGGUGCCGGAAGGUUAAUUGAUGGGGUUAUCCGUAAGGAGAAGCUCUUGAUCGAAGCCCCGGUAAACGGCGGCCGUAACUAUAACGGUCCUAAGGUAGCGAAAUUCCUUGUCGGGUAAGUUCCGACCUGCACGAAUGGCGUAAUGAUGGCCAGGCUGUCUCCACCCGAGACUCAGUGAAAUUGAACUCGCUGUGAAGAUGCAGUGUACCCGCGGCAAGACGGAAAGACCCCGUGAACCUUUACUAUAGCUUGACACUGAACAUUGAGCCUUGAUGUGUAGGAUAGGUGGGAGGCUUUGAAGCGUGGACGCCAGUCUGCGUGGAGCCAACCUUGAAAUACCACCCUUUAAUGUUUGAUGUUCUAACGUUGGCCCCUUACCGGGGUUGCGGACAGUGUCUGGUGGGUAGUUUGACUGGGGCGGUCUCCUCCCAAAGCGUAACGGAGGAGCACGAAGGUUAGCUAAUCCUGGUCGGACAUCAGGAGGUUAGUGCAAUGGCAUAAGCUAGCUUGACUGCGAGCGUGACGGCGCGAGCAGGUGCGAAAGCAGGUCAUAGUGAUCCGGUGGUUCUGAAUGGAAGGGCCAUCGCUCAACGGAUAAAAGGUACUCCGGGGAUAACAGGCUGAUACCGCCCAAGAGUUCAUAUCGACGGCGGUGUUUGGCACCUCGAUGUCGGCUCAUCACAUCCUGGGGCUGAAGUAGGUCCCAAGGGUAUGGCUGUUCGCCAUUUAAAGUGGUACGCGAGCUGGGUUUAGAACGUCGUGAGACAGUUCGGUCCCUAUCUGCCGUGGGCGCUGGAGAAUUGAGGGGGGCUGCUCCUAGUACGAGAGGACCGGAGUGGACGCAUCACUGGUGUUCGGGUUGUCAUGCCAAUGGCACUGCCCGGUAGCUAAAUGCGGAAGAGAUAAGUGCUGAAAGCAUCUAAGCACGAAACUUGCCCCGAGAUGAGUUCUCCCUGAGACUUUAAGUCUCCUGAAGGAACGUUGAAGACGAUGACGUUGAUAGGCCGGGUGUGUAAGCGCAGCGAUGCGUUGAGCUAACCGGUACUAAUGAACCGUGAGGCUUAACCUU